GUCGCUAUUACCGAUGGACUUCUCUGUGAGUUUGAGGGACUGGAUUUUAUAUCUAUGGAAACUCAAACGAACAGUGUGGUCUAAA
rnacentral:rRNA from 1 species